AAGGCAAGGUAAAAAGGGAGAAGGGGGAAAAGGAAAAACUAGAAACGACUAGAAUGAGUUAGAGAAAGGAAGAAAGUGGAUUUCGAAGGCCCCGAGCUAGAUAAAGAAUUCUUUUUUCAUUUCUCAGCCAGCACCACCACCAAGGGAGCUCGGUUCACCCUUCCGGGACAGGCUCGCGCUAUUCCCAUUGGAGCAUUUGCCCGGCGUUCGUCCACUCCCCGUGGACUAGCACUGCUAGACUUUUUUAAUGAGGCUUCCCCGGUGAUCCUUGCGAACGAGUGAGCUAGCGAAUAAGAAGAAACGGCCGUCAGGACGACGACGAAGACGACGAGGAAGACGACGAGGACGACGAAGAGGACGACAUACUCCAUAUUUCAGAUAAAUAUUUCUCACCGAUAUAACUAGGUGAUCGACGUCGAUGAGGAAGAAGCGGAAGAGGAUAAAAAGAAAAAGAAAAGAAAAAGAAAAAGAAAAAAAAAGGGAACAAAACGAGAGACGGAAAAAAAUAAAAUAAAAUAAAGAAAAAAUAUGAAAAGCAGAGACAUCGGUGAAGGCGACGGAUAAAUACGCGAUGAUCAUCAACGUGAUUCAACAGCAGCAAGGCUUUCCCAUCUUCGGGCUUCGACACUUCUCCGCGAUCGUUUAUCGAUUGUAGCGAGAAAAAGAACAAAAUACAAGAAAAAAAGUAACUCUCGUCAAGAA
rnacentral:lncRNA from 1 species